rnacentral:rRNA from 1 species
AACGUAGGUACCGAGCGUUAUCCGGAUUUACUGGGCGUAAAGCGUGUUCAGGCGGCCUGGCAAGUCGGGCAUGAAAUCUCUCGGCUCAACCGAGAGAGGCUGUCCGAUACUGCUGGGCUUGAAGACGGUAGAGGGUGGUGGAAUUCCGCGUGUAGUGGUGAAAUGCGUAGAUAUGCGGAGGAACACCAGUGGCGAAGGCGGCCACCUGGACCGUCCCUGACGCUCAAACACGAAAGCUAGGGUAGCGAACGGG